AUGCACUACAUCCCCAUCUUCUUCCUCCUGUUCUUGAGUUCAUUCUGCAAACCCGAUGACCAGCUCACACAAGCAAAGCCGCUCACCGACCGCGACACUCUCAUCUCCGAGAGCGGGGACUUUGCUUUGGGCUUCUUCUCCCCGACAAGCUCCAACAAGAGCUUUUACCUUGGCAUAUGGUACCACAGCCUCCCCGGGCCACGGACCGUCGUGUGGAUGGCCAACCGAGACAUCCCAAUCAUCAACCCUUCGCCCAUGAUGCUCAAGGUAACUAACAAUUCUCGCAUGGUAUUAUCAGACUCCGAAGGCCGUGAUAUUUGGAUGGCAGCAAGCAAUAUCACUACCAGAGCGGUAGGAGCUUAUGCAGUACUAAACAACUUGGGGAACUUUGUCCUCCGUUCCACGAUCAACAUGGACAUAUGGCAGAGUUUCCAUCAUCCGACCGACACAAUACUUCCAACCAUGAAAUUUUUGGUGAGCUACAAGGGACAAGUCAUCGCACGUCUUGUUGCUUGGAAGGGCCCGGAUGACCCAUCUUCUGGGGACUUCUCAUGCAGCGGCAACCCAAGAUCCUCAAACCUUCAGUUGGUAACUUGGAACAAGGCUAAGCUAUUUUGUCGUCUCAUUGUGUCGGAUGGUGUGUCAGUGUCUGGCACACUAACCAACACUAGUUCCAUCUUGUACCAAACAAUUGCCAGCUCUGGAGACGAGUUCAGUUACACGUUCGCUGUCUCCGACAACUCACCGUUCAUGCGCAUGAUGCUUGACUACACUGGAAAGUUGAAGAUUCUAGGCUGGGACAAUCACUCAAUGUCAUGGACAGUCAUCAAUGAGCACCCCAAUAGUGCUUGCGAUCUCUACGCCUCUUGUGGCCCAUUUGGCUAUUGUGACUUCACCAAGGCCAUUCCAGCAUGUCAGUGCUUUGAUGGGUUUGAGCCUGUUGACAGUAGCAACUCUUUUAAAGGAUGUCAGAGAAAAGAAGCGUUGAAAUGCCGCAAGCAAAGUCAUUUCACGUCUUUUCCUGGAAUGAAGGUUCCUAACAUGUUCUUGCAUAUACGCAACAGAAACUUGGAUGACUGUGCAGCUGAGUGCAUCAACAAUUGCUCGUGUACAGCGUAUGCUUAUGCCGACUUGAGUGGCGGAGACCCGUCAAGGUGCUUAGUUUGGUCAGGGGAGCUUAUUGAUGCUCAGAAGCCAACCGGCGGUGGCGAGAACCUGUACCUCCGACUUGCCGAUUCUCCUGUCAACAAGAAAAAUGGUCCAGUAAAGAUUGUACUCCCCAUUAUAUCAUGUCUGCUACUACUGGCAUGCAUAGUCUUCAUCUGGAUGUACAAAUAUAGAGGCAAAUGGGGAAAGAAGAAAAACCAGAAGAAGGUGACGCUAGGAUACGUCAGCACAUCCAACUCACUAGAAGGCAAUAAUAGGGAAUUUCCAUAUUUUAGCUAUGAAGACAUAUUUUCAGCAACAAAUUUUUUCGCGGAUUCCAGCUUGCUUGGACGUGGAGGCUUUGGCAAAGUUGACAAGGGCACAUUGGAAGGUGGAAAUGAAGUUGCUGUCAAAAGGCUUAGUAAGAGUUCUGGACAAGGUAUAAUGGAGUUCAAAAAUGAAGUAGUUCUCAUUGCAAAACUACAGCACAAGAACCUAGUCAGACUUCUCGGCUACUGCAUACAUGAAGAUGAGAAGUUAUUGAUCUACGAGUACUUAGCUAAUAAAAGUUUGGAUGCCUUUCUUUUCGAUCAUGCAUGAAAACAUGUGCUCGAUUGGUUGACACGGUUCAAAAUAAUUAAAGGAAUAGCAAGAGGCCUUCUUUAUCUCCAUCAAGAUUCAAGAUUAACAGUAAUUCACAGAGAUCUCAAAGCAAGCAACAUUUUGUUGGAUGUAGAAAUGACUCCUAAAAUUUCUGAUUUUGGUUUGGCAAGAAUCUUUGGUGCAAACCAGAAUCAUGCUAACACAACGCGGGUCGUCGGAACAUAUGGUUAUAUGUCCCCGGAAUAUGCAAUGGGAGGUGCAUUUUCUGUGAAAUUAGACACUUAUAGCUUUGGGGUUCUUCUCUUGGAGAUUGUUAGUGGCAUGAAAAUUAGCUCACCUCGGCUCAACAUGGAAUUUUCUAGCCUUAUAUCUUAUGCCUGGAGAUUAUGGGAAGAUGGAAAAGCUACUGAACUAGUGGACUCCCUCGUUGCUGCGAACUGCCCAAUCCAUGAAGUUGUACGGUGCAUUCAUGUGGGACUCUUGUGUGUCCAAGACCAUCCAAAUGAUAGACCACUAAUGUCCUCAGUUAUGUUUAUGUUAGAGAAUGAAACUGCAAUGCUUCCACCUCCAAAGCAUCCUGUAUACUUUGCUCUAGGUAACUAUGAAGGUGAACAAGCCAAGGAGAGAAUGAGUUCCACAAAUGAAAUGAGUAUGACAAUGCAAAAGGGCCGUUAG
rnacentral:rRNA from 1 species